rnacentral:lncRNA from 1 species
GGGAUUGGGGCCCUGUGGGGCGCUAUAAGGGCCCUAGGGGGUGGAAUUGGGGCCCUAUGGGGUGCUAUAAGGGCCCUAGGGGGUGGUAUUGGGGCUCUGUUGGGGUCCUAUAGGGCCCUGUGGGGCUCUGUUAGGUCCCUCUAGGGCUCUAUUGGGGCUCUAUGGGUGAUAUUGGGGCCCUAUGGGGUGCCUCUAGGGCCCUAGGGGGUGGGAUUGGGGCCCAAUGGGGCACUAUAAGGGCCCUAGGGGGUGGUAUUGGGGCCCUAUGGGGUGCUAUAAGGGCCCUAGGGGUGGUAUUGGGGCUCUAUUAGGGUCCUAUAGGGCCCUGUGGGGCUCUAUUAGGUCCCUCUAGGGCUCUAUUGGGGCUCUAUGGGUGAUAUUGGGGCCCUAUGGGGCGCUAUAAGGGCCCUAGGGGGUGGGAUUGGGGCCCUAUGGGGCGCUAUAAGGACCCUAGGGGGUGGUACUGGGGCUCUAUUGGGGUCCUAUAGGGCCCUGUGGGGCUCUGUUAGGUCCAUAUAGGGCUCUAUUGAGGCUCUAUGGGUGAUAUUGGGGCCCUGUGGGGCGCUAUAAGGGCCCUAGGGGGUGGGAUUGGGGCCCUACGGGGCGCUAUAAGGGCCCUAGGGGGUGGUAUUGGGGCUCUAUUGGGGUCCUAUAGGGCCCUGUGGGGCUCCAUUAGGUUCCUCUAGGGCUCUAUUGGGGCUCUAUGGGUGACAUUGGGGCCCUAUGGGGUGCCAUAAGGGCCCUAGGGGGUGGGAUUGGGGCCCUGUGGGGGGCUAUAAGGGCCCUAGGGGGUGGGAUUGGGGCUCUGUUGGGGUCCUAUAGGGCCCUGUGGGGCUCUGUUAGGUCCCUAUAGGGCUCUACUGGGGCUCUAUGGGGCACUAUGGAG